AAGUCGUAACAAGGUUUCCGUAGGUGAACCUGCGGAAGGAUCAUUAACAAAGUUAAUGGUAUGUUUUACUUUCUUUGCAAAAAGAAGUAAAACAUCACCACUUAUCUACCUUUUGUGCACUUGUUUAUUGUCUUUGGCGUUAUUUUCUAUUCUUUUUUUUGUUAUUUGGAUUUUUUUAAUGAAAAUUCAAAGUACAAAAGAAGAAAUGAAAAUACGCCGCACAAUUUUAUACUACCCAUAGUUAUUUUAUACCGUACUUUUCACUUGCUUGUGCUUUCAACGGCCAAGUAUAUUUAAUGAAAAAUACAACUUUUGACAACGGAUCUCUUGGCUCUC
rnacentral:misc_RNA from 1 species